UUCAUGGGAACCACUGAGAUGUCAGUCUUACCACAGAGCAAUCAAGUCCAGUUUGUUCUUUUCUGUGUAAUUAAAGCCUGGUUCUGGGAGGACGAGGAAGCAAUACCGCUGCAGUCGUGAACAAUUAUGGCUCAAAACUUUUGAAGAUGAGUAGGUGCCUCAACUGACAACAAGGAGGUGAUCUCUUCAGGUUCCAUCUUCCCACUUUUGGAUAUUUUGGCUAAGGGAAUGAAGAAACUGGACACAUUGGUUGGAUUGAUUACAUGACGUACAGCUGAGGUCACUCUUCUGAAGAGACCCUGAAAGUCUUUGUGCAUGCAGUGAUCCAUUGAGGAUUGCAUGGCUUCCUUGAAUGACUUUAUGGAAUAUUCAAUAUUGUCUGAAGAUUUCUUCUUCCUGGGAUUUCAUGUAUGUACUGACCAAAUUCAUUAUAGCUCGAACAGAAUU